AUGCUCAACCACUGUACCACACUGGCCGGGCCAUAAUAUGACAUAAAUCCAUGCUUGGAGAGAAGUGAGCAAGAAACAUGUAUACCAACUGUUUGCAUAUAAAUAAUAUGUCAUAGUUUAACAUAGGGAUUUUGAGGUACAGGUGCUUAUUUCUGAAUUUGAGAUGUAACAUUUGUUGAAUGUUUUAAAAAUUCAUUUUGUCUAUUAUUUAUAACAUUGCCAAGAAAAGGAUAACAUUUAGGCUAAAAUAGGUCCUGUUCAAACAUAGUGAAACUCAUUCUAAAACAGGGACAAGAUUUCAAUCUGAAACAAAUUGGGAGAGGGCUUGUGAACUGCAGCAUAUUCUGAAAGGUAACAUUUACUUUAGCAUAUAGCAACACACUAAAAUAACCACCUGUGUGUGACAUAAUCUAGCUAUAAUUAAUGGUGUGAAGAAAUAAUUGUUUCUUAAUAGAACUGCUAGGAAAACAAUAGAGUUUUAGAAUUAGAAGGGACUUAGAAAUCAUUGAACACUAGCCCAACCUCUAAACCCUGGAAGAAAUUUCCUUGUAAAAUAUUGCUGACAGUCGUCAUCUGUUCUUUCAUUGCCGUUUACAUUUAAUCAGUUCUGCUUAGAUUCUUUAAAUUGGGUUUUGGGAUUAGGAUAGAAUUAGUUGCCACUAUUUAUACUUGUUUAUAAUACAAAUAUAAACUUCACUUUGAACUGCUGCAUAGUUUGAACUGUCAAAUUCUAAAUUACAGAAGUUUUGAAUUUUUGUAAAAUAAUUCAAAUGUUUACUAAUUGUUACACCUGUUAUGUGUGCUAAAAAUAUUUCUGCCAUUGAAGUAAAAAACAGGGUGUCUAAAAUUACUAGCACAACUUUUCACUUGGAAAUCCAAGAACAUGAAAUUAUUUUCCUUUAUAAUUUGUGUAAUCCCUUUCUUAGCAGUAUAAUGAUAAUGGUGAAGGCAAAUAAAAGUUUCACUUGAAUG